AAAAAAAAUCCUCAGGGCCAGGAUGGCAGCGGUGGUGGCGGCGGCAGCGGCGGCGGCGGCGGCGGCUUCAGGAAGCGGGACUCCCCGAAAGGAAGACGGACCCGCUAGGGAAGCAGCGGCCUCGCAGUCCCCAGCCCCAACUAGUGUGCCUGGGGCACAUCUCUCGAGGCUGCCUCUGGCGUGAGUAAACGCCUUGGUGAAGGCGGACCACGACGUGUCGCUAGCAGGACAGGAAGCCAUCUUCAUUCUGGCACCAGCAGCGGAGCUAUUUGUGGAGACCACUGCAAAAGAUGCCUACUGCUGCGCUCAGCAGGGAGAAAGGAAACCCCUUCAGAGGAGAGGCUUGGAUAAUGCAAUAGAAGCUGUGGAUGAAUUUGCUUUUUUGGAAGGUACUUUGGAUUGAUUGCUGAGUGGGGCAGAUUUGUGAGCCUUCAUCUGCAGCCUUCAGUUCACCCCUCUCUACAGGACUCAGCUUUGAAGAACGGAGUCUUUGCACUUAAAGACACUCUUGUUGUUCUGCCGUCACCUAUGCUGGGAUAAGCAGAGAUCUCAUCAAUUAGCUUUUCUCUGCAAGGUCUUCCACUACUUCUGUCUUCCAUGUCAAGCCUGGAUGCAGCUGCUGGUGCUUGGAGCAGAGAUGAAGAAGUGUUCUGCAUACGUGGCUUACUGAAUGAUGAGGACCAAAAAUAAAGGUUUUUGAUCA